AUUGAACGCUGGCGGCAUGCUUUACACAUGCAAGUCGAACGGUAACAGGGUGCUUGCACCGCUGACGAGUGGCGAACGGGUGAGUAAUGCGUCGGAACGUGCCGAGUAGUGGGGGAUAACGCAGCGAAAGUUGUGCUAAUACCGCAUACGUACUGAGGUAGAAAGUGGGGGACCUUCGGGCCUCACGCUAUUCGAGCGGCCGACGUCUGAUUAGCUAGUAGGUGAGGCAAAGGCUCACCUAGGCGACGAUCAGUAGCGGGUCUGAGAGGAUGAUCCGCCACACUGGGACUGAGACACGGCCCAGACUCCUACGGGAGGCAGCAGUGGGGAAUUUUGGACAAUGGGCGAAAGCCUGAUCCAGCCAUGCCGCGUGUCUGAAGAAGGCCUUCGGGUUGUAAAGGACUUUUGUCAGGGAGGAAAUCCCUAGUGCUAAUAACACUGGGGGAUGACAGUACCUGAAGAAUAAGCACCGGCUAACUACGUGCCAGCCGCCGCAGUAA
rnacentral:rRNA from 1 species